CCUACGGGAGGCAGCAGUCGAGAAUCAUUCACAAUGGGGGAAACCCUGAUGGUGCGACGCCGCGUGGGGGAAUGAAGGUCUUCGGAUUGUAAACCUCUGUCAUGUGGGAGCAAAUUAAAAAGAUAGUACCACAAGAGGAAGAGACGGCUAACUCUGUGCCAGCAGCCGCGGUAAUACAGAGGUCUCAAGCGUUGUUCGGAAUCACUGGGCGUAAGGCGUGCGUAGGCUGUUUCGUAAGUCGUGUGUGAAAGGCGCGGGCUCAACCCGCGGACGGCACAUGAUACUGCGAGACUAGAGUAAUGUAGGGGGAACCGGAAUUCUCGGUGUAGCAGUGAAAUGCGUAGAUAUCGAGAGGAACACUCGUGGCGAAGGCGGGUUCCUGGACAUUAACUGACGCUGAGGCACGAAGGCCAGGGGAGCGAAAGGGAUUAGAUACCCUUGUAGUC
rnacentral:rRNA from 1 species